rnacentral:rRNA from 1 species
GGAUUAAGAGCUUGCUCUUAUGAAGUUAGCGGCGGACGGGUGAGUAACACGUGGGUAACCUGCCCAUAAGACUGGGAUAACUCCGGGAAACCGGGGCUAAUACCGGAUAACAUUUUGAACGCAUGGUUCGAAAUUGAAAGGCGGCUUCGGCUGUCACUUAUGGAUGGACCCGCGUCGCAUUAGCUAGUUGGUGAGGUAACGGCUCACCAAGGCAACGAUGCGUAGCCGACCUGAGAGGGUGAUCGGCCACACUGGGACUGAGACACGGCCCAGACUCCUACGGGAGGCAGCAGUAGGGAAUCUUCCGCAAUGGACGAAAGUCUGACGGAGCAACGCCGCGUGAGUGAUGAAGGCUUUCGGGUCGUAAAACUCUGUUGUUAGGGAAGAACAAGUGCUAGUUGAAUAAGCUGGCACCUUGACGGUACCUAACCAGAAAGCCACGGCUAACUACGUGCCAGCAGCCGCGGUAAUACGUAGGUGGCAAGCGUUAUCCGGAAUUAUUGGGCGUAAAGCGCGCGCAGGUGGUUUCUUAAGUCUGAUGUG